ACCACGAACCAAAUCUAUGAACCUCACCCAAGUUCGUGAACCAAAUACCACGAAUCAUAACCCAAGUUCAUGAAUCAAGGCCUAUGAACCAAAAUAAACCAAGUUCAUGAACCACGAACCAAAUCUAUGAACCUCACCCAAGUUCGUGAACCAAAUACCACGAAUCAUAAACCAAGUUUGUGAACCAAACACCACGAAUCAUACCCAAGUUCAUGAACCAUACUCAAGUUCGUGAACCAAACCCAAUGAACCAUAUCCAAGUUUAUAAAACAAAUCCCAUACACUAAACCUCAUGAACCAUGAACCAAAUUACAUGGAUCAUAAACCAAAUCCCAUACCUAAAUAUCAUGAAUUAUGGAGCAAAUGCCAUACACUGAAUCCCAUAAACCAUAAACCAUAAAUCAAAUCCAUGAACCAUAUCCAAGUUCAUGAACCAAAUCCCAAAUACCCAAACCUCAUGAACUAAAUGUCAUAUACCAAAUUCUAUAAACCACACCCAAGUUCAUGAACCAAACCUCAUGAAUCAUAUACCAAACCCUAUAAACCAUACCCAAGUUCAUGAACCAAAUCUCAUGAACCACAUCAAAGUUCAUGGACCAUAAAUCAAAACCAAGUACUAUACACCAAAUUCAUGAACCAUACACUAUACACCAAGUUCACGAACCAUACUCCAAACCUCAUGAACCAAUACCCAAAUCUCAUAAACCUUACCCAAGUUCGUGAACCAAACACCAUGGACCAUACCCAAAUUCAUGAACCAAACACCAUCGACCAUACCCAAAUUCAUGAACCAAAACACCACGAACCAUACACCAAGUUUAUGAACCAUACACCAUAUCCCAUAAACUAUACACCAAGUUCAUGAACCAUACUCCAAACCUCGUGAACAAAUAUACCAAAUCUCAUGAACCAAAUACCCAAAUCUCAUGAACCAUACAUCGUGAACUUUUUCUUUACUUUAGCUCAUAUACCUAGAGUAAAAAAUUAAAUGCAAAAUCGACUACCCCUAAUACAUAUACUUAGGGCUAAGAUAACAUCGACUAGGUCUUAACACAUAUACUUAGGAUCUAGUCAGCCUCAAAUCCAACUAAAUUCUAAUACAUAUACUUAGGAUUCAAUAAACCAAGAUAUGAUCCAUUCAAUCCCAUCUUUACAAAGAUCUCUUAAUCG
rnacentral:lncRNA from 1 species